UUUGGGGAUUGAGUCCAGGACGUUGUACAUGGCAGGCAUGAUGAGAUCCCAUCAGAAAGUCAGCUGUACACUGAGGUAUAUCCCCAGUUGUCCUUCCUUCUCAAUAAAAUUACUGUUGUAUUUGAAAGGAGAUUGUCAACAAAUGAAGAAAGUCCCAGGUCUUGUUCAAAUGCUAUUACCAUGAACUUUGAUUAUCAUGCCACUGCGUUUCCCAGAGGCAGUUAUGAUAAAGAUUAAAUAUCUUUGCCCUUAAAAGGAGAGUAGCAUUGUAGAUGCUUGUCUAAAAUAACUUGGUAUGUACUAGGAAAUGUAAAUGGACCAUCAAUUUAGAUGAAGCAAUGUUUCUGAGGUAUUAUGUCAAGAUAUAAGUUCUUCCAUGUAAUGUAAUUUUAGUGUGUCAUAGUCCGAAGCGUAAAUAUAAACCACAUUUUGAUUGUUACAUUUUAAAAAGGUUGUUUAGAAUAUAAGAAUUCUGAUCAUUGUGUUUAGAACACUUUUUGUUGUAAGCAUGACCCAUGGAGUAGAAGCAUCAAGCCUUCUCUAGAGGUAGUUAUUUGUAGAACUGAUGUGAUUUUUAAAACAUUAAAAUUAAGCUGCAAAUGUUAUUUCUGCAUUUUUUCAUGUAUAUAAAUAUUUCUUGUCACAUCUUGGAAAAAAUUGGAUGAAUUAGUUUCAUUUUUAUAAUCUUUACUUUAAAAAUAAAAAUGUAUCAUGUGAUUUGUAAAUGUACCAGGAGUGGGGAUAAGUCUGUUUAUAAAACUCUUUUGUAUAUUUUAAUUUCUGGACUACAUUGUAGCUAAUUAUUCCAUUCAAUCUUAAGGUAAUUUAAAUCUAUAAAAUAAAUAUCGCAAUUAUAUUAUCAAUAAAGAGAACUGAAGAUAUUUUCU
rnacentral:lncRNA from 1 species